AGUCGAGCGAGAAGACGUAGCAAUACGUUUGUAAAGCGGCGAACGGGUGAGGAAUACAUGGGUAACCUACCCUCGAGUGGGGAAUAACUAGCCGAAAGGUUAGCUAAUACCGCGUACGCUCCUUGGACUUCGGUUCAGGGAGGAAAGCGAUGCCGUGGGUAUCGCGCUCUUGGAUGGGCUCAUGUCCUAUCAGCUUGUUGGUGAGGUAACGGCUCACCAAGGCUUCGACGGGUAGCUGGUCUGAGAGGACGAUCAGCCACACUGGCACUGCGACACGGGCCAGACUCCUACGGGAGGCAGCAGUAAGGAAUAUUGCGCAAUGGGCGAAAGCCUGACGCAGCGACGCCGCGUGGGGGAUGAAGGUCUUCGGAUUGUAAACCCCUUUCGGGAGGGAAGAUGGAGCGAGCAAUCGUUCGGACGGUACC
rnacentral:rRNA from 1 species